rnacentral:rRNA from 1 species
UGAUCCAGCCAUGCCGCGUGUGUGAAGAAGGCCCUCGGGUCGUAAAGCACUUUAAGCUGGGAGGAAGGGUUGUAACCUAAUACGUUGCAGCUUUGACGUUACCAGCAGAAUAAGCACCGGCUAACUCUGUGCCAGCAGCCGCGGUAAUACAGAGGGUGCAAGCGUUAAUCGGAAUUACUGGGCGUAAAGCGCGCGUAGGUGGCUUGGUAAGUUGAAUGUGAAAUCCCCGGGCUCAACCUGGGAACUGCAUCCAAAACUGCCUGGCUAGAGUACGGUAGAGGGUGGUGGAAUUUCCUGUGUAGCGGUGAAAUGCGUAGAUAUAGGAAGGAACACCAGUGGCGAAGGCGACCACCUGGACUGAUACUGACACUGAGGUGCGAAAGCGUGGGGAGCAAACAGGAUUAGAUACC